rnacentral:rRNA from 1 species
UACAGAGGGGGCAAGCGUUGUUCGGAAUUACUGGGCGUAAAGGGCGCGUAGGCGGCCCGCUAAGUCGAACGUGAAAUCCCCGAGCUCAACUCGGGAACUGCGUCCGAUACUGGCGGGCUUGAAUCCGGGAGAGGGAUGCGGAAUUCCUGGUGUAGCGGUGAAAUGCGCAGAUAUCAGGAGGAACACCGGUGGCGAAGGCGGGUCUCUGGGCCGAUACUGACGCUGAGGAGCGAAAGCGUGGGGAGCGAACAGG